GAUGGACUUAAAAAGCUCUCAACUGGUACAAAAUGACACAUCUGAACAACACAGUCUAAUAUGUGCAAAUCAGGAAACUGUACUUAUUAGGCAUUGUCACCUAGUGAAAGGAGGACUGGAAUGGGACCUAAGAGACAUGGGUUUUAUUCCUGGCUGUACUGCUGGUUUGCUGGUGAUCUUGGCUACCAUGCCCGAUGGUGGCCAGGGACAUGCCCCCAACCACGGACCCCA